AAAUAUUUACACUAACCAAAUAAUAGACGAUAAUUUCUUUUUGGGAAAAUUACAAUUUACUAACUUGGAGUUUGAUGAUUUUGUCAAGUAGAGUCCUCAGGUUAAGUUUGUGAUAAAAAGGUAUCCUAAGUUUUAGCUCUGUUAAUAAAGAGGGGAAAUUGCUUAAACGCCAUCAAAAAAAAUUUAGGGUAAAUUAUAGUCCCUGAGAUUUAGUAAACCUA
rnacentral:misc_RNA from 1 species